rnacentral:rRNA from 1 species
UGGGGAAUUUUGGACAAUGGGGGCAACCCUGAUCCAGCCAUGCCGCGUGCAGGAUGAAGGCCUUCGGGUUGUAAACUGCUUUUGUUAGGAACGAAACGGUGGAUGUUAAUACCAUCUACUAAUGACGGUACCUAAAGAAUAAGCACCGGCUAACUACGUGCCAGCAGCCGCGGUAAUACGUAGGGUGCAAGCGUUAAUCGGAAUUACUGGGCGUAAAGCGUGCGCAGGCGGCUUGAUAAAGACAGGUGUGAAAAUCCCCCGAGUCAACUUGGGAAUAGCACUUGUGACUGUCAGGCUAGAGUAUGUCAGAGGGAGGUGGAAUUCCAAGUGUAGCAGUGAAAUGCGUAGAUAUUUGGAAGAACACCGAUGGCGAAGGCAGCCUCCUGGGAUAAUACUGACGCUCAUGCACGAAAGCGUGGGGAGCAAACAGGAUUAGAUACCC